rnacentral:rRNA from 1 species
GACGAACCGUCCUAACGUUGUUCGGAAUCACUGGGCUUAAAGGGCGCGUAGGAGGCUUGCCAAGUCAGGGGUGAAAUCCUGCAGCUUAACUGUAGAAGGGCCUUUGAUACUGGCGAGCUCGAGGGAGGUAGGGGUAUGUGGAACUUCCGGUGGAGCGGUGAAAUGCGUUGAUAUCGGAAGGAACGCCGGUGGCGAAAGCGACGUACUGGACCUCUUCUGACGCUGAGGCGCGAAAGCUAGGGGAGCAAACGGG